ACGUAGGGUGCGAGCGUUAAUCGGAAUUACUGGGCGUAAAGCGUGCGCAGGCGGUUUUGUAAGACAGAUGUGAAAGACCCGGGCUCAACCCCGGAACUGCCAUUGUAACUGCAAGGCUGGAGUGCGGCAGAGGGGGAUGGAAUUCCGGGUGUAGCGGUGAAAUGCGUAGAUAUGGGGAGGAACACCGGUGGCGAAGGCAGUCUCCUGGGCGUGAACUGACGCUCAUGCGCGAAAGCGGGGGGAGCAAACGG
rnacentral:rRNA from 1 species